AGAACUCUUAAAGCUCAACAAUAAGAAAACACACAACCUGAUUUUAAAAUAAGCCAAAGAACUGAUGAGACAUCUCACCAAAGAAGAAGUCUCUGUGGCACCAGAUAAAACAAGCAGACCCAAAUACCACUGCAAAGGAUCUGAAAAUUAAACUGUUAUUGGAACCACAAUCCACUAAAACAGUCCAGGACCUGCAUGGUAAACCUAAG
rnacentral:lncRNA from 1 species